rnacentral:rRNA from 1 species
GAUGAACGCUGGCGGCGUGCCUAAUACAUGCAAGUGGAACGGAGACGUUAUAGCAAUAUGAUGUCUUAGUGGCGAACGGGUGAGUAACGCGUUGGUGACCUGCCCCGAAGUGCGGGAUAACAGCUCGAAAGGGCUGCUAUUACCUCAUGUGGUCCUAAGGGUUAGAGACCUCAGGACUAAAGGAGCAAUCCGCUUCGGGAGGGGCCUGCGUCCCAUCAGCUUGUUGGUAGGGUAAUGGCCUACCAAGGCGACGACGGGUAGGGGACCUGAGAGGGUGACCCCCCACACUGGCACUGAAACACGGGCCAGACACCUACGGGUGGCAGCAGUAGGGAAUAUUGCACAAUGGGCGAAAGCCUGAUGCAGCAACGCCGCGUGCGCGAUGAAGGCCUUCGGGUCGUAAAGCGCUCUUCGGGGAGAUGAGGAAGGACAGUAUCCCCGGAAUAAGGCUCGGCUAACUACGUGCCAGCAGCCGCCGUAACAC